ACGCUCGACACCUACGGGAGGCGGCAGUGGGGAAUAUUGCACAAUGGGGGAAACCCUGAUGCAGCAACGCCGCGUGAAGGAAGACGGUUUUCGGAUUGUAAACUUCUGUUCUUAGUGAAGAUAGUGACGGUAGCUAAGGAGCAAGCCACGGCUAACUACGUGCCAACAGCCGCGGUAAUCUGAGCGGGCUGGCAAGGC
rnacentral:rRNA from 1 species